UUUAAGUGUAACCAUAAGUUUCCACGUCCAACUUUUAUCGUCCGUCUUAUUUGAAAAUUUUUUAUAAUUAGUAUUUUUGUUGUUAUGAGAUGAUAAAACAUAAAUAAUACUUUACUCGUGACUUAUAUUUUUAAUUUUUUAAUUUUUUUAAAUAAGACGGACGGUUAAAGUUGGACGCGGAAAACCAUGGCUGUACUUAAA
rnacentral:pre_miRNA from 1 species